GGGUUGUGAGGUUAAGCGACUAAGCGUACACGGUGGAUGCCCUGGCAGUCAGAGGCGAUGAAGGACGUGCUAAUCUGCGAUAAGCGUCGGUAAGGUGAUAUGAACCGUUAUAACCGGCGAUUUCCGAAUGGGGAAACCCAGUGUGUUUCGACACACUAUCAUUAACUGAAUCCAUAGGUUAAUGAGGCGAACCGGGGGAACUGAAACAUCUAAGUACCCCGAGGAAAAGAAAUCAACCGAGAUUCCCCCAGUAGCGGCGAGCGAACGGGGAGGAGCCCAGAGUCUGAAUCAGUGUGUGUGUUAGUGGAAGCGUCUGGAAAGGCGCGCGAUACAGGGUGACAGCCCCGUACACAAAAAUGCACAUACUGUGAGCUCGAUGAGUAGGGCGGGACACGUGGUAUCCUGUCUGAAUAUGGGGGGACCAUCCUCCAAGGCUAAAUACUCCUGACUGACCGAUAGUGAACCAGUACCGUGAGGGAAAGGCGAAAAGAACCCCGGCGAGGGGAGUGAAAAAGAACCUGAAACCGUGUACGUACAAGCAGUGGGAGCCUCUUUUAUGGGGUGACUGCGUACCUUUUGUAUAAUGGGUCAGCGACUUAUAUUCUGUAGCAAGGUUAACCGAAUAGGGGAGCCGAAGGGAAACCGAGUCUUAACUGGGCGUUAAGUUGCAGGGUAUAGACCCGAAACCCGGUGAUCUAGCCAUGGGCAGGUUGAAGGUUGGGUAACACUAACUGGAGGACCGAACCGACUAAUGUUGAAAAAUUAGCGGAUGACUUGUGGCUGGGGGUGAAAGGCCAAUCAAACCGGGAGAUAGCUGGUUCUCCCCGAAAGCUAUUUAGGUAGCGCCUCGUGAAUUCAUCUCCGGGGGUAGAGCACUGUUUCGGCAAGGGGGUCAUCCCGACUUACCAACCCGAUGCAAACUGCGAAUACCGGAGAAUGUUAUCACGGGAGACACACGGCGGGUGCUAACGUCCGUCGUGAAGAGGGAAACAACCCAGACCGCCAGCUAAGGUCCCAAAGUCAUGGUUAAGUGGGAAACGAUGUGGGAAGGCCCAGACAGCCAGGAUGUUGGCUUAGAAGCAGCCAUCAUUUAAAGAAAGCGUAAUAGCUCACUGGUCGAGUCGGCCUGCGCGGAAGAUGUAACGGGGCUAAACCAUGCACCGAAGCUGCGGCAGCGACGCUUAUGCGUUGUUGGGUAGGGGAGCGUUCUGUAAGCCUGUGAAGGUGUGCUGUGAGGCAUGCUGGAGGUAUCAGAAGUGCGAAUGCUGACAUAAGUAACGAUAAAGCGGGUGAAAAGCCCGCUCGCCGGAAGACCAAGGGUUCCUGUCCAACGUUAAUCGGGGCAGGGUGAGUCGACCCCUAAGGCGAGGCCGAAAGGCGUAGUCGAUGGGAAACAGGUUAAUAUUCCUGUACUUGGUGUUACUGCGAAGGGGGGACGGAGAAGGCUAUGUUGGCCGGGCGACGGUUGUCCCGGUUUAAGCGUGUAGGCUGGUUUUCCAGGCAAAUCCGGAAAAUCAAGGCUGAGGCGUGAUGACGAGGCACUACGGUGCUGAAGCAACAAAUGCCCUGCUUCCAGGAAAAGCCUCUAAGCAUCAGGUAACAUCAAAUCGUACCCCAAACCGACACAGGUGGUCAGGUAGAGAAUACCAAGGCGCUUGAGAGAACUCGGGUGAAGGAACUAGGCAAAAUGGUGCCGUAACUUCGGGAGAAGGCACGCUGAUAUGUAGGUGAAGUCCCUUGCGGAUGGAGCUGAAAUCAGUCGAAGAUACCAGCUGGCUGCAACUGUUUAUUAAAAACACAGCACUGUGCAAACACGAAAGUGGACGUAUACGGUGUGACGCCUGCCCGGUGCCGGAAGGUUAAUUGAUGGGGUCAGCGCAAGCGAAGCUCUUGAUCGAAGCCCCGGUAAACGGCGGCCGUAACUAUAACGGUCCUAAGGUAGCGAAAUUCCUUGUCGGGUAAGUUCCGACCUGCACGAAUGGCGUAAUGAUGGCCAGGCUGUCUCCACCCGAGACUCAGUGAAAUUGAACUCGCUGUGAAGAUGCAGUGUACCCGCGGCAAGACGGAAAGACCCCGUGAACCUUUACUAUAGCUUGACACUGAACAUUGAGCCUUGAUGUGUAGGAUAGGUGGGAGGCUUUGAAGUGUGGACGCCAGUCUGCAUGGAGCCGACCUUGAAAUACCACCCUUUAAUGUUUGAUGUUCUAACGUGGACCCGUGAUCCGGGUUGCGGACAGUGUCUGGUGGGUAGUUUGACUGGGGCGGUCUCCUCCUAAAGAGUAACGGAGGAGCACGAAGGUUGGCUAAUCCUGGUCGGACAUCAGGAGGUUAGUGCAAUGGCAUAAGCCAGCUUGACUGCGAGCGUGACGGCGCGAGCAGGUGCGAAAGCAGGUCAUAGUGAUCCGGUGGUUCUGAAUGGAAGGGCCAUCGCUCAACGGAUAAAAGGUACUCCGGGGAUAACAGGCUGAUACCGCCCAAGAGUUCAUAUCGACGGCGGUGUUUGGCACCUCGAUGUCGGCUCAUCACAUCCUGGGGCUGAAGUAGGUCCCAAGGGUAUGGCUGUUCGCCAUUUAAAGUGGUACGCGAGCUGGGUUUAGAACGUCGUGAGACAGUUCGGUCCCUAUCUGCCGUGGGCGCUGGAGAACUGAGGGGGGCUGCUCCUAGUACGAGAGGACCGGAGUGGACGCAUCACUGGUGUUCGGGUUGUCAUGCCAAUGGCACUGCCCGGUAGCUAAAUGCGGAAGAGAUAAGUGCUGAAAGCAUCUAAGCACGAAACUUGCCCCGAGAUGAGUUCUCCCUGACCCUUUAAGGGUCCUGAAGGAACGUUGAAGACGACGACGUUGAUAGGCCGGGUGUGUAAGCGCAGCGAUGCGUUGAGCUAACCGGUACUAAUGAACCGUGAGGCUUAACCUUACAACGCCGAAGGUGUUU
rnacentral:rRNA from 1 species